CAAUGAGGACUGCCAGCAGGGGGCGCAGGAAUGCUCUUCUCACUUAGCCUCACGACCAAUGAGAACGGCCAGCAGGGGGCGCAGGAAUGCUGUUCUCUCUUAGCCUCUCGCAGGUGGCGGUAGGAGCGCGCAGAGGGCGCUACGAGCGCGCGCAUGCGUAGCACCCGUAGAGUGGCGCUUACGUCAGUCCACCUCUGGCUCUCGUUGGGAGAAGACGUGCGGUCGUUCGCUCCGUCGUCACUUGAUCCCUGGCUGUCGACGAGAGCAGUCGCAUCGGUCUGCGCUCCUACUGUGAGCUGUCCUAACUUGCCCAGACAUGCCAUGAUGACGUCACAGCUGACGUCACAGGAUGUCCGGAACUGGUGCUGCGAUGCUUUGCAACCUGCCUCCGUGCUCCGUCGCGGCAUCGUUGAUUUUCGAAUAAAUUGUUUCUCUCCACUC